rnacentral:rRNA from 1 species
GACGAACGCUGGCGGCGUGCUUAACACAUGCAAGUCGAACGUGAUUUUUGUAGAAAUUCCUUCGGGAAUGGAAAUGAAAUGAAAGUGGCGAACGGGUGAGUAACACGUGAGCAACCUACCUUACACAGGGGGAUAGCCGUUGGAAACGACGAUUAAUACCGCAUGAGACCACAGAAUCGCAUGAUAUAGGGGUCAAAGAUUUAUCGGUGUAAGAAGGGCUCGCGUCUGAUUAGCUAGUUGGAAGGGUAAAGGCCUACCAAGGCGACGAUCAGUAGCCGGUCUGAGAGGAUGAACGGCCACAUUGGAACUGAGACACGGUCCAAACUCCUACGGGAGGCAGCAGUGGGGAAUAUUGCACAAUGGGGGGAACCCUGAUGCAGCGACGCCGCGUGAGCGAAGAAGGUUUUCGAAUCGUAAAGCUCUGUCCUAUGAGAAGAUAAUGACGGUAUCAUAGGAGGAAGCCCCGGCUAAAUACGUGCCAGCAGCCGCGGUAAUACGUAUGGGGCGAGCGUUGUCCGGAAUUAUUGGGCGUAAAGGGUACGUAGGCGGUUUUUUAAGUCAGGUGUGAAAGCGUGAGGCUUAACCUCAUUAAGCACUUGAAACUGGAAGACUUGAGUGAAGGAGAGGAAAGUGGAAUUCCUAGUGUAGCGGUGAAAUGCGUAGAUAUUAGGAGGAAUACCGGUGGCGAAGGCGACUUUCUGGACUUUUACUGACGCUCAGGUACGAAAGCGUGGGGAGCAAACAGG